AAUUGACGGGGAGCACCACAACGGGUGGAGCUUGCGGUUUAAUUGGAUUCAACGCCGGAAAUCUUACCGGGACCGACAGCAAUAUGAAGGCCAGGCUGAAGACUUUGCCGGAUUAGCUGAGAGGUGGUGCAUGGCCGUCGUCAGUUCGUACUGUGAAGCAUCCUGUUAAGUCAGGCAACGAGCGAGACCCACGCCCACAGUUGCCAGCGUACUCUCUGGAGUGACGGGUACACUGUGGGACCGCCGCUGCUAAAGCGGAGGAAGGAAUGGGCAACGGUAGGUCAGUAUGCCCCGAAUAUCCCGGGCUACACGCGAGCUACAAUGGUUGGUACAAUGGGUAUCUACCCCGAAAGGGGACGGGAAUCUCCUAAAACCAAUCUUAGUUCGGAUUGAGGGCUGCAACUCGCCCUCAUGAAGCUGGAAUCCGUAGUAAUCGCGGAUCAGCAUGUCGCGGUGAAUACGUUCCCGGGUCUU
rnacentral:rRNA from 1 species